GGGGUAACACAGGGUAAGGGUUCAUUGAAUUCAUUAUGUAUUUUGGCCCUGAGUUACCCUCCAAAUUACCCUAGAAAGUGUACGGAGGGGGUUCGAAUCCCUCCGUCUCCGCCA
rnacentral:tRNA from 1 species